rnacentral:lncRNA from 1 species
GUAACACUCUGGGAGGGCUCAGGCCACAUCACGAAAUGUGACAGGAUAGCCUUGAACUCAUCAAUUGCUGGGUAAGAAAGAAUUUUAAUGCAAUGGCAAACAACCAAUCAAACAAGCAAACAAAAACAAUAAACCCUUCCUUGAGGACCAAGAAGACAUUGAUUAGCUAACCUAAGAGCUCCAGGUGGAGACCUAGGUCCUGAUUGGGUUUCUGAAUUUGACCACUAGGCAGAAAACUAGCACCCAAAACCAGUUGGAAUAAAAUUACCCACCUACAGUGGAGCCAAGGCCCCCAGAUCCUUUUUGUCAGGGGCACCUCAAACUCAACUCCAAAAUUGAUCUAAUGAACUUUCCCAAACCACAUUCCCUUCUUGCAUUUCUGAGAGAAUGGAUUCCCAUUCAUCUGACUACAGUGCUACCCUGAAAGCAGAUCCAGAGACUAAGAUUCACCUGCAGGUGAUUCAUUUGGGUCUCAACUCAAGCAUUCCUUUCUCAAGAAGCCUUUUAUGGUAUGAAGAGUGAGACAGAGUUCCCUGCGCCACCUCCAUUGAAUCAUGUUAGGCCUUAAUGUACCUUUCCUUUAUAACACUUACUGAAUGAUUAAUUUGGCAUUUAUUUACCUGGCUAUUUUAUUCAGUGUUUAGGAUUUAUACUAGAUUGUAAGCUCCUCAAGAGUGUUCCAGGUCUAGUUUAGGUCACCAUGUAUCCCUGAUUAGUACCACACAUCCCAGUGCACCAUGGUUCUCAACAAAUAACAUGUUAUAUAAAUCAAUAAAUGACAGGAACAAAGAUGUUUUUCAAUUUGUAUUACAAUGUUUUCUACUAUCUGGCAGAAUCUUAGUAGGAUUUAAUAGAAAUCAGGCAAUGUCUACUCCUUAACCUGACUUUGAGAGAGAAACACUGAUUUUUAAGAAUCACUCCCAAUUCUGACUUUUUCUCAUCAUUAUGUGGGUGAGGUAGAGAUAUUUCUGAGGCUUUUUUGUUCAGGAACUUGUCUCCUUGGACAUUUUAACUAGGUCAUCACUAGAUCAUUGCUACAUGAAGUAUGGUCUAUUGACCGGCAACAUCAGUGUCAGCUGGAGACUUUUAGAAAUGCAGAAUCUCCAUUCUGACUGGUGUGAGAUGAUAGCUCAUUGUGGUUUUGAUUUGCAUUUCUCUAAUGACCAGUGACGAUGAGCUUUUUUUUCAUGUUU